AUGAACGCUAGCUACAGGCUUAACACAUGCAAGUCAAGGGGCAGCAUGGUCUUAGCUUGCUAAGACUGAUGGCGACCGGCGCACGGGUGAGUAACACGUAUCCAACCUGCCGUCUACUCUUGGACAGCCUUCUGAAAGGAAGAUUAAUACAAGAUGGCAUCAUGAGUCCGCAUGUUCACAUGAUUAAAGGUAUUCCGGUAGACGAUGGGGAUGCGUUCCAUUAGAUAGUAGGCGGGGUAACGGCCCACCUAGUCUUCGAUGGAUAGGGGUUCUGAGAGGAAGGUCCCCCACAUUGGAACUGAGACACGGUCCAAACUCCUACGGGAGGCAGCAGUGAGGAAUAUUGGUCAAUGGGCGAGAGCCUGAACCAGCCAAGUAGCGUGAAGGAUGACUGCCCUAUGGGUUGUAAACUUCUUUUAUAAAGGAAUAAAGUCGGGUAUGGAUACCCGUUUGCAUGUACUUUAUGAAUAAGGAUCGGCUAACUCCGUGCCAGCAGCCGCGGUAAUACGGAGGAUCCGAGCGUUAUCCGGAUUUAUUGGGUUUAAAGGGAGCGUAGAUGGAUGUUUAAGUCAGUUGUGAAAGUUUGCGGCUCAACCGUAAAAUUGCAGUUGAUACUGGAUAUCUUGAGUGCAGUUGAGGCAGGCGGAAUUCGUGGUGUAGCGGUGAAAUGCUUAGAUAUCACGAAGAACUCCGAUUGCGAAGGCAGCCUGCUAAGCUGCAACUGACAUUGAGGCUCGAAAGUGUGGGUAUCAAACAGGAUUAGAUACCCUGGUAGUCCACACGGUAAACGAUGAAUACUCGCUGUUUGCGAUAUACUGCAAGCGGCCAAGCGAAAGCGUUAAGUAUUCCACCUGGGGAGUACGCCGGCAACGGUGAAACUCAAAGGAAUUGACGGGGGCCCGCACAAGCGGAGGAACAUGUGGUUUAAUUCGAUGAUACGCGAGGAACCUUACCCGGGCUUAAAUUGCAGAUGAAUUACGGUGAAAGCCGUAAGCCGCAAGGCAUCUGUGAAGGUGCUGCAUGGUUGUCGUCAGCUCGUGCCGUGAGGUGUCGGCUUAAGUGCCAUAACGAGCGCAACCCUUGUUGUCAGUUACUAACAGGUUCCGCUGAGGACUCUGACAAGACUGCCAUCGUAAGAUGUGAGGAAGGUGGGGAUGACGUCAAAUCAGCACGGCCCUUACGUCCGGGGCUACACACGUGUUACAAUGGGGGGUACAGAGGGCCGCUACCACGCGAGUGGAUGCCAAUCCCCAAAACCUCUCUCAGUUCGGACUGGAGUCUGCAACCCGACUCCACGAAGCUGGAUUCGCUAGUAAUCGCGCAUCAGCCACGGCGCGGUGAAUACGUUCCCGGGCCUUGUACACACCGCCCGUCAAGCCAUGGGAGCCGGGGGUACCUGAAGUGCGUAACCGCGAGGAGCGCCCUAGGGUAAAACUGGUGACUGGGGCU
rnacentral:rRNA from 1 species